rnacentral:tRNA from 1 species
UCCCUGGUGGCUCAGAUGGUAAAGCAUCUGCCUACAAUGCAGGAGACCCAGGUUCGAUCCCUGGAUUGGGAA